GUAGGGUGCGAGCGUUAAUCGGAAUUACUGGGCGUAAAGCGUGCGCAGGCGGUUAUGUAAGACAGAUGUGAAAUCCCCGGGCUCAACCUGGGAACUGCAUUUGUGACUGCAUGGCUAGAGUACGGUAGAGGGGGAUGGAAUUCCGCGUGUAGCAGUGAAAUGCGUAGAUAUGCGGAGGAACACCGAUGGCGAAGGCAAUCCCCUGGACCUGUACUGACGCUCAUGCACGAAAGCGUGGGGAGCAAACAGGAUUAGAUACCCUGGUAGUCCCACGCCCUAAACGAUGUCAACUGGUUGUUGGGAAUUAGUUUUCUCAGUAACGAAGCUAACGCGUGAAGUUGACCCGCCUGGGAGUACGGCCGCAAGGUUG
rnacentral:rRNA from 1 species